rnacentral:lncRNA from 1 species
AAAAAGUUCGAUCGUGAUGACGUCAGAUAACUUUAUUUCUACUUUUUUUUAUAUCAGUUUAGUACUGAAAGUCAAGUAUUGUUGUACGAUUUGCAAUUUAUAGUCCACUACGUCAGGAAAGACAAGUAUUUAUACUUGACUGGAGUACAAAAGAUAUUCCUCAUAUCAAUGGAGCAUAUGCUGUGAAUUAAACUUUUAACAGCUCAUCACAACGUUACAUCGAUAAAACAAAAAUAUUCUAUGUAUAUUGUUGUCAGCUAUGGAUUCUCUCGUCUCACUUAAUACGUCAUCGCUAUUUCAUAAUUAUUCUUUUUAAUAAAUAAACAAAGCAACAGGUUAUUUUAUAGUAGUGAAUACUCCGUAUGCAAAAUAACAAUAAUACAAUUUCUUGUUGAUCUCUCGUCGUACAUUUGGUUGUGGGGCUCGUACCCCCUGCACAAAACCCCAUAGCAUUUCAAUCCCCAGCAUUUUAUCCCCUAUUACAAGAAAUAGCAAUCACGACCAAGCAUUCUAUCUUUUAACAACCAUUCAAACAGUGAAAUAAGUUUCCCUAGUCCUCAACACUCCCUUGGGUAUCUUUAGGUACAAAAAAACUCAAAAUAAAAUACUUAAAUAAGUUGAUAUACAUGCAGUGAUAAUCAGAAGUGGGGAAAAUUCAUUAUACUGCAAGUUUAGUCUCAAGUCUAAGUCCUUUAAUCUUUUAUCGAGUCCAAUUGGAAUCCUCAGAUUUAUUUCUAGCUAAUUUCAUACAUUUCAAAUCCAUCAUUAUAAUAUAGGAUCUACAGCAGGGAUCGGCAACCUAUGGCACACGUGUCACUGCUAUCAAACAGAAGCCUAUCCAUUGGCACACGCAAAUUAGAACAUAUUCCCGUAGUUUGUGUGUGUUUUUAACUAUUAUUGUUGAUAGUGGUACACUCAUUGAUUAGAAAUGUUGAAGUUGGUACUCUAUGUCUCAGGGGUUGCCUGCCCCUGGUCUACAGUGUUAAUGCUUCAGUAUAAAUUACCUAUAUAGUCAAAGUCUAGUGGCGAGUCUUUGAUAGUGAGAUCAAGUCGAGUCGCAAUGUCUUCAAAAUAUGAACUCAAUUCCAAGUUGAGUCGCAAGUCUCUUAUCCUAUCCAUCACCUCUAGUGAUAAUACAUUUGUCAUUUAAUACUUUGCACCUUCAAAGGUUCUAAUCAUGGUGGGGACAAAUUUGGAUUUUCUACGUUAUCCGUCUCUUCUAAUACUCGUAAUACGAAGUUUUAAUAUAUCUCAUUAAAUAUGAUAUAUGAGUGAUAUAAAUCUAUGUUAGUAUUUUGAAACUUUCCGUUACGAAUAUGCCGUUGAUAUUACUUGAUAAGAUUUGGGAUGAUUCUAUUUGACUAUUAUAAUGUUGACAUAAUAAAUAUAUUAAAAAUAGAUAUAAUUCCCCUAAUUAAAUAUUUAUUUUUGA